CGCGUAGGUGGUUUGUUAAGUUGGAUGUGAAAUCCCCGGGCUCAACCUGGGAACUGCAUUCAAAACUGACUGGCUAGAGUAUGGUAGAGGGUGGUGGAAUUUCCUGUGUAGCGGUGAAAUGCGUAGAUAUAGGAAGGAACACCAGUGGCGAAGGCGACCACCUGGACUAAUACUGACACUGAGGUGCGAAAGCGUGGGGAGCAAACA
rnacentral:rRNA from 1 species